GAUGAACGCUAGCGGCAGGCCUAACACAUGCAAGUCGAGGGGCAGCGGGAUUGAAGCUUGCUUCAAUUGCCGGCGACCGGCGCACGGGUGCGUAACGCGUAUGCAACCUACCCAUAACAGGGGGAUAACACUGAGAAAUCGGUACUAAUAUCCCAUAACAUCAAGAGGGGCAUCCCUUUUGGUUGAAAACUCCGGUGGUUAUGGAUGGGCAUGCGUUGUAUUAGGCAGUUGGCGGGGUAACGGCCCACCAAACCGACGAUGGAUAGGGGUUCUGAGAGGAAGGUCCCCCACAUUGGUACUGAGACACGGGACCAA
rnacentral:rRNA from 1 species